rfam:Triticum aestivum genome assembly, contig: Triticum_aestivum_CS42_TGACv1_scaffold_220925_3B
AAAGUACUCCCUCCGUCCCAAAAUUCUUGUCUUAUAUUUGUCUAGAUACGGAUGUAUGUCACAUUUUAGUAUUAGAUACAUCCCUAUCUAGACAAAUCUAAGACAAGAAAUUUGGGACAGAGGGAGUAGUUG